rnacentral:tRNA from 4 species
GCGGGCGUGGCGGAAUGGCAGACGCGCUGGACUUAGGAUCCAGUGGGGGCAACCUCGUGCGGGUUCAACUCCCGCCGCCCGCACCA